rnacentral:snoRNA from 1 species
AGCUAAUCUACUGAGACUAAGAACUCAACGCUGUGACCAAAGAUUAAGAUUUUCCAUGAAUGCCAUUGUCACUCAAUAGUGCUAUGUUUUCUCCUGUGGAGAUAUAAAA